rnacentral:lncRNA from 1 species
CCGGCCGCGUGGUUGUGCUGCGGCUGGCUGGGCAGCCUGGCUCUCUUGGCACUCUCUCAGCUGGCUUCUCAGGAGUCUGCCUCCCAGGCGGAUCUGCAGACCUGGGAGGGGGCUUCCUUUGUUCCCCCCACUCCCCGACGUGCUGCCCUGCCCCCUCAGCUCUCCCAGGCCCAAGGGAGCUGCUCCAAGGUGGCUGGGCCAGGGGGCCAGGGGCUGAGACAGCCCAUUCUCAUGGACCAGAAGAGCCCCAAGUGGCAAAUGCUCCUGCCGCUGGGCACCGUUCCUCCCGCGCGUUCCAGAUGAGAAGACCGAGACACGGAGGUCAGGUGACUUGUGGAUGUCCCCAGGCUGGUCAGGUGGGCAGAACCGAGACAACGGUGUGGCACAGAGCUUGCAUCCUGUCCCACAAGGCAGCAUAAACUGUAGCCCCAAUUAUGGGAAAUCCAACCCUAUUUACAAAGACGUUCUCUCAGCUUUGAGAAAGUUCCCCAGCAUCACAGCGGGGCUUUGGCUGGAAGACAGUGGGCCGUGGCUCCAUCAGGCCGGGGGCAGCCCCAGCCCUGCCAGGACAGGCAGGUGCCAGGCCACGAGGCACCUGUGGCAGCGGAAGGCGGGGCACCUUGUCCUCCCAGGGGGCGGGGCACUGGGUGCCAGGAGCGGGCCCGGGCGCAGCCUGCCUCGUGGGUGCUGGGAGGGCAGCCAGGGGCCAUUGGGGGCUUUGUGCCUAUCACCGAAGCACAGCGUGGACCUCCGCCCCUUCCUCGCACCCUUGGCAGCCAGGUGGGCACACCUGCCCCAGGCAGUCCCAGGCCCCAUCCCUGACCCUGGCUGGUACCCAGUGUUAGGGUUAGGGUUAGGGUUAGGGUUAGGGAUCCCCCAGACCAUAGCGUCCUUAAACAAAGGAACAAAGCUGAGCCCUGGCCUGGGUCACAGACAUGGGGUCUCAGGCGGCAGUGUCUCCGACUCCAGGAGCAGCUCAGCCCCGCCUCUUCCAGGAAGCCCGCAGGGACUGCUCCGUCCCUCUCUCUCUCUCUCUCUUUCCCUCUCCCCCUCAAUAUUGCAUCCUUUCCUCAGCUCUAGAAUGGGAAGGGAGCUCAGCUGGCUUCACUGGGGUCCAAACCAGGGCACGUGUGAGAGUGCAGGUGGCACCAUUACCUGUUACGUGGGGACAUGGGCUGAAAACCAGGACCCUCCCAGGACAUUCGGGGGCCUGGCUUAUACCAUCAUGCGUCGUUGGUUGUUCGGGUGUUUCUGUCUCUGGUUCCCUUUCUUGUCAAGUCAGCUUCCUCACCUGUAACGUGGCAGUGCUGGUGGCACUGUGAGGGUUCGGCGAGGCGGUCCUUGCUGCUAGGAAGCAUCCUGUCUUCUCUGUAUCCUUUCGGCACCAAGCUCAUGUCAGCCAGGGCUUCCGACGGUCUGAUGGCUGCCUGGAGGAGGCUCGGCCUGCUGCAGGUGCCCGGUGACAUUCCUAGGAUGACGGGUGGAGCGCGAAGGCUGGCUGGCUGGGUGGAUGCCUCCCUGAAUGGAGACUGAAUGAACACCGGGUCUCUUCUCUUCCCAGGUGGCUCUGGAGACCCCAGCCCCUGGCAGCGGGCAGCCGGGGAGGGUAUGAGUGUGCUUUUGUCCCCGUGGUUACCCAUUGCCACGUUACCCAUCGCCACGGUGGGCACACUCUCUCUGUUUCUGCUCCUUGAGUCUCGGACCCUGGCCGCCCACCAGGCCUCCCUCCCUCCCCUUGGCGCUGGCAGGACAGGCAGGUCAGGUGGGCUUCCAGUCAGGGCUCUUUUCUCCACCUCCCCAGGGGCUGUGUGUGUGUGUGUGGUUCUGAGUGUGUGGUUCUGUGCGUCUGUCGGUGUGUGCACCCAGCAAGCCCAGCGGGCGAGGUGGCCCCUGUGGCUUCGGGCUGAAGGAAUUAGUGUGCCGCGUGCAAUGGCUUUGGCAGCUGGCCGGGCUCGCCGCCCCUGGAUGCCAUGAGGGGCGUGGACGUGACACAUGUCCCACCUGCUGGUUUGGGGCAGGGCAGGGGCAGGGAGGAGAAGGCCCCUGAGCCUGGCUUUUUGGACUGCUCACUGCUGCUGCUGUCCUCCGUGGGGUAAGGACAGACAGGUGGACAGGAGCCAAUCUCUCUGCUCCUUCACCUCGGUGACACUGGCUCCGUGCCCUCCCUUAUGGGGGCCGAGAGACUGUUCUAGGCACCCCUCGCCCCCCAGAAGUGGUGUGAAAAGUGGGGCUCUGGACCUCUUGGGCCUGGCUUCAGAUCCCCUGGCCACUCCUCAUUGCUGUGUGCCCGGGAUAAGCCGCCUCACCUCUCUGGGCCGCUUCCCAACAUGAAUCCCGCCAGCCAGGGCUCUGAGGACAGAGUGGGUCAGGACCUGAGGCCCUCAGGACACCGCAGGUCAGCAGUGUGAGCCAUCAGCCCCUUGCCUGGCACUGUCCCCAUUGUCAUUCUGGUCACCUUUUCUGGGAGCAUUUGAACCCCAGUGUCACCCCCCACAGCCCAGCUCUCCCAGGUGGGGAGCAAGGCAGGAAACUCAGGAUGCUGACUCGGCCAGGGGAGAUCCCACGUGACCCCCACCAGCCAUAGGGCGGGAGGCAGCCUGCCAAGGUGAGGCACAGCGCCCUGGCCCAGAACAGAGCAAGUGCUCAGAAAUCACAGGCCGGUACCCUCCCGGCUGGGGGCAGCUUCCUGCCAGCAUCCCGGCCCCUGGCCCUGUCUCCUCACCCAGCAGCAUACAGAAGGGAAGGAGCAUUUAUGCAACACCUACUGCAUGCCAGUUCUCAAGUCAUUAGCCCGUUUUAUCAACAAGGAAACUGAGCCUCAGAGAGGUGGGGCCUGGGACCAGCCCAGUGGUUCCAAAGCAGGAAUUCCCACCAGGAACCAACCUUGAGAGGGCCUCCCUCCUGCCUCCUUGGGCCAAAGCAACUGCCCUCCUGAGCCCUCGGGGACCCCAGGCACUGCUCCAGCCCCUCCCCAGCUCCUCCCCCUAGACCCCCAGGAAGCAGAGCUUGGGGAGAUGCUGUCCACAGUCUCAGGACCAGACCCUGCAGGCAGAUCUGUGCGCCCUCUCUGAGCCUCAGUUUUCCCAUCUGGGAAAUAGGAAGAGCCAAGGAUGUCCGCCCCAUAGCGUGGGAACGCUGAGCCGUUGAAACAUCACUCCGGCCCCAUCCUUGGGGACCGCCUUGGUCCCCAGGGGCUGGUCUGGGGGGGUUCAAGGGCUGGGUGGGCUGGUCUGGCCGCCUCGCCUCUCCCUAAUGGCAGGUUUGGGCACAGACAGAGCCUGUGGCCUGGCAGUGUGGGGUGGUGGCUCUGCUCCCCCGCCCGCCUGCCCUCCUGCCCGCCGUGUGGUCCCUGCGGGGGGACACGUGAACACAGCCUGGCUCUGUUCUCUCAGAGCUGUGGGAGGCGGGCUGUCACCACGGGAGCUGGAGGUGAGCCCGGGAGCGGGGGAGGGGCGGCGGAUGUCUGUGCCUGCCUUCCUCCCCCCACCCGCCACCGCCACCACCACCGCCACCGCCAGGCCCUGCCAAGCCACAGGUGCCGCCGUGGAGGGCGUGGGUGGGGGUCCUGCUGAGUGGAGGGCUGGGGCUGGGCGAGGGGUUGGGGGUGCACAGUGUAUGCAGGAUAGCGAGGAGGGGGUCUUUUGGGGGGACAGCUGCCCCGCUCUGUUCUGGAGAGAGAGGUGUCCAAGGCAACAUGGCCACCGUCACCAGGGCUGCAGGUCCCCCUGGGGUUCUGAACGGCUGCUGCGUGGCACAGGUUGGGCACUGCACAAUCUCAGGUCUUUGGGUGGAGCUGUACCGUGUGCAGCGGCCUAGGGGCUCCCUCCCGUCUUCUCCGCCUCCCACGUUUUGAUGUUUGUUUCUGGAGUUCGGGCCCCUUUUGAUCCAAAGUCUGGGGUGUUGGUGAGGGCGAUGUGUAGGAGUGACUAUGGGUGAGAGGGCUCCCAUCGUGGGCUGCACACAGUAGGGCGGCUUGGGGGGUUGUAAGAAGCCAUGUCUGUCCUUCGAGGUCAGAGUGAUACGUGUGUAUCCAAGCCCCCCAUGAAUCCCAUUCUCCUUGAGCAUCUAAGGUCAUGACUUUGUGGGUACCAGGCGUCCCCGCCCCGCUACCUUGCCUCCUAAGAGCCCCCUUUGCCGAGAUUUAAUGUCUUAACUCACUGAGCUGCAGGUCAAACAGCACCUGGGGAGAGAGACACCAACUGAAACCUCUCCUAGCUGUGUGACCUUAAGCAUGUUACCUAACCUCUCUGUGCUUUCAUUUCCUCCUCCGAAAAGUAGAGGCAGUAGCCUGCGUCGCCAGGUUAUAGGCAGAUUGCAUGAGAUAAGGAUGAAACGCACUUUGAGCCGGGACAGCGUGUGGAAAAUGCCAGUUGUUGCCUCACUCCGUGUGCCCUGGGUAGAAACUGCCAGCUUUGUUCUUUGCCACCUGGAGGUCCUGGCAGGCAGGAGGCUGGGGUUCAGCGGCCUUGUUCCCCAGGGGUGGCUGGCACCGGGCUUGGCACGAGGUGAGCUCUGGAUUGAUAAACAGCUGCAGGGUUGCAGGGGGGGCCUCCCUCUCUCCCUCUCUGGGAGCUGCAGGGGACGCCUGCUCCCUCCAACCCGCCGCCACCGCCAGGCCCCUUUGUCCAUACGGCCGCCUCCCGGUGCAGAGAAACCGCAGGCUGGGCUGCGCCACUCAGCCUUAUCUCAGGCCUUUUGCAGACAGCCCUGGCCCCGGGAAAGGGGUUUAUCAGCCCGGUCAUCUGUGCCCCGGUAGGUUCAGAGGGGCAGAGAGCUUGGAGGGGAGCCUGGCAGGGGGCAGGGCCCACCCACACUGGCCUGGCGAGGUCCCCUCCUCCAGGCGGGCUUUGGGCGCACAGGAAGGGCCGAGCCCCAGACUCCCUCCGUAGACUCCGUGACAUUCACCUUCCACCGGCCCCCUCCCAGCCCUCAGAUUCGGUGCCCUCCAUGCGACCACCUGUCCCCACGGGGCAGUCAGGGGAGCCUGACCCGCGUCUGAGGGCGGGUAUGUGUGGCAGGGUUGAAGCUGGGAAGCCCAUUUCAGGGCACUGAGCCCUGGGAAGGCUGCCCAGCCUUCCCGAUGCUUCUUUAAGGGGCAGGGAGCUCCCGUUCUCCCCCCUUAUAAGGCCAACUCCUGAGCGCCUGCUGGCGAGGAGCCCUUCUCCCCAUGCUCUCACGGAUGCGCUGACUGGGCCCAGUCGUGAACCCAUCAUAGAGACCAGGAGACUGAGGCCCAGGCCAACUUUGCACCCUGCAGCCUUGCGGACAUCCUGGGUCUGCGGGCGCACGGGAUGGGCACCUUAGGGGUGGAAGGUGGUCCCUGUGGUCCCUGGCCACCCGGCUACCCUAGUGCCAUUCUGCCACCACCUCCCCUGCCAUUGCUCCCUCCCUUCCCUCAGGGAGAAGUCCUGCUCAGCCAGGGAUGGGGGUGGGGGAACAGAAUGGGCCCCUCGCCAGUGGGUGCACACCGCCAGAGAGGGGCCUUGACAAGCUCAGUAGCCGGGUCAGACCCUGGCACUUUCUGGCUGCAAACCCGGACAAGCCUCCUAGCCCUCUGGGCUGGGCGGGGGCGGGUGUGUGUGUGUGUGUGCCCUUUCCACGCGCCAGGCAGCCCCCCCAGGUCUUGGCCCACUUCAGGCUGCUCCCCAGAGGGCCCUCCCUCUCUCACCCGGAUCUGUGGGCAGAGUCACCCUCUUCACUGGCAUCCUGUCCUUCUCUGCUAAAAGGGCCACCUCCUGCUGUGUCCCAUCCUCGUUCUUAGGCUGUCACAGGCUCACAGCGCUGUCUAGCAGUGUAUUUCGCUGAUUUUUCUUAUCGUCUGCCGUGCCCAGUGUCUGCGCAGCUCCCAGAGGACAAGAAUUUCCAACUCCGUCUGCCCAGCCCCUAGGUCAGUGCCCGGCCCACAGUAGGCCCUCGAUAAAUACUUGUCAAAUGAAUGAAUGGACAGAUCAGCAAAGUGAGAAAACCAGAGAGUUCCCGUCAUGACGCAGUGGUUAACAAAUCCGACUAGGAACCAUGGGGUUGCGGGUUCGAUCCCUGGCCUUGCUCAGUGGUCAAGGAUCCGGCGUUGCCGUGAGCUGUGGUGUAGGUCGCAGAUGCAGCUCAGAUCCUGCAUUGCUGUGGCUGUGGCUGUGGUGUAGACUGGUGGCUACACCUCCAAUUGGACUCCUAGCCUGGGAACCUCCAUAUGCCGAGGGAGCGGCCCUAGAAAAGGCAAAAAGACAAAAAAAAAAAAAAAAAAAAAAA